rnacentral:rRNA from 1 species
GAUGAACGCUGGCGGCGUGCCUAAUACAUGCAAGUCGAGCGAACAGACGAGGAGCUUGCUCCUCUGACGUUAGCGGCGGACGGGUGAGUAACACGUGGAUAACCUACCUAUAAGACUGGGAUAACUUCGGGAAACCGGAGCUAAUACCGGAUAAUAUAUUGAACCGCAUGGUUCAAUAGUGAAAGACGGUUUUGCUUUCACUUAUAGAUGGAUCCGCGCCGCAUUAGCUAGUUGGUAAGGUAACGGCUUACCAAGGCGACGAUGCGUAGCCGACCUGAGAGGGUGAUCGGCCACACUGGAACUGAGACACGGUCCAGACUCCUACGGGAGGCAGCAGUAGGGAAUCUUCCGCAAUGGGCGAAAGCCUGACGGAGCAACGCCGCGUGAGUGAUGAAGGUCUUCGGAUCGUAAAACUCUGUUAUUAGGGAAGAACAAAUGUGUAAGUAACUAUGCACGUCUUGACGGUACCUAAUCAGAAAGCCACGGCUAACUACGUG